AGAGCUAUGGUAUUUUGGUUUCCCUCCGCAUUUUUUUCACGAUUUUGUUUCACCCUAACCAAAACCCUUUGCUCUCACGUUCUGCGUUAUCUUCCGCCCUCCUCGUCGCUGAUCUUUAAUCUCUUCAUCAUCGUUGCUUGAAGCAGGCGAAUUGGAGAUUAAUGUUUCUGGAUUGGCGAUUGGGACUCUAAAUUGGCGAUACAGAAAAAUUGGCAAAUUUCGUUUCUGAAUUAGCGAGAAGAAUAAGAGCUAAGUUAGGGUUCUAGUAGGCAAGUAGGGUAAUUGGGGAAUUGGAGAUUGAUGCUUCUAAAUUGGCGAUUGGGACUCUGAGUUGGAUAUGCAGAUAAAUUAUCAAAUUGAGUUUCUGAAUUAGCGAGAAGAACAAGGAUGGUGCAUAUAUUCAAGAAUUACAAGCUACUUAAAAUGUGUGAAGAUUCGUAGGGUUUUUGGCACAUGAAUAUGAUAUAUGUUUUGAAAAAUAAAGUUAUCGGACAGUGAUCGCAGGAUUUUUUUUUUAUUUUAAUGGAUUUAGUUUUAGAACCUAUAUUUUUUUUACUAUUCAAACAAUUGUAACAGAUAUUAUGCUUAUGAAAUUAAGCUAUUUGAAAUGUAUACAUUUUUUGAACUUA